AUUUUUUCAUUGCCAUAACUACCACCACCAACCAUAAAAAAGAUCAUGCCUUCUUUAAAUCUCCAAGGAACUACCACCACCAACCCAAUUAAAUUAUAUACAUGCCAUAACUACACGUAGCUGCACAUCUUUGGCAAUAAAGGAACCAAAUCUGAGCACUACAAACACCCACCAUAGCAGCUCCACAAACAGGGAUAAGAUCACACCAAAAGGAAGAAGAAGAUGGUAUGCACCUCAGACGAAGGAGAAGGAGAAGAAGAAGAAGAAGAAGGGAGGAUGCACUCCCACUUCAACCAUGUUUUCGACCGUGAUUUCCUUGAUUAAAUAUAGGGGAAUUAUUUACUUGACUAAUUCGAUACAAUGAUGGAACCUUUUGCAUGUAAUGUGGUUUUAAGUUGAAAACUUCCAUGUACGUAAAAUACUUCACAGAAUAGUUUCUUUUUUGUCUACUACAUAGUGGUCUCUCCUUUUUUUUUUGCAAUGGAAUGAAGAAAGCUGAUGAAUCAAAGAAGGGAGGAUAGAAUGCAAAGAGGUAAAGGGAAGAGCAAUAAGAAAUGAAGGUUUUAAUUUAUGAUAGAAGAAGUGGAGGGUUUCAUUGAUUGUAAUUAUUAUUAUGAAUCUUAUUUCUAUAGUCUCCAUAUAAAUGGUUUCUGGAAAGCAUUUUACGGAUAGCUCCUUGUUAUGUUUAAUGUUUGCUCCUGGAAGGAGUUGUUAGGUGUUGUAGUGUUUGCUUUGAGCCUUUGGUGGCAGAUUAUAGCUUUAUUUGGAAUUGUUGCAAUGGUUCAAAUCUGUUUAGCUGGAUUUCGCAAAGUACUCACUAAGUGUAGUAGUUAGAAAUUAGGAAGCAGUGUUCACAGAUGUGUGAUCAGAUUAAGAGGGCCAGCAAAUUUUGGGAAAUUUGGAUGAAAACCAGUGUCACACUUGCCUUCAUCUUGUAACUUCUUAAUGAUACUUUAUAACUUUUUAUGUAAUAGACGUAAAUUUUC